rnacentral:snRNA from 1 species
AAUUGUUUUAAGAUCUUUUUUUUUUUUUUAGGAGGCUUCACUUCCAGUGUGAAGCCCAA